rnacentral:rRNA from 1 species
UACGGAGGGUGCAAGCGUUGUCCGGAAUCACUGGGCGUAAAGGGCGCGUAGGCGGCUCAUGAAGGCUGUGGUGAAAGGCCGGGGCUCAACCUCGGGACUGCAUUGGAUACUGCCUUGCUCGAGAACUGGAGAGGAGACUGGAAUUUACGGUGUAGCAGUGAAAUGCGUAGAGAUCGUAAGGAAGACCAGUGGCGAAGGCGAGUCUCUGGACAGAUUCUGACGCUGAGGCACGAAGGCCAGGGGAGCAAACGGG